UACGUAGGGCGCAAGCGUUGUCCGGAAUUAUUGGGCGUAAAGAGCUCGUAGGCGGUUUGUCGCGUCUGCUGUGAAAACCUAAGGCUCAACCUUGGGCUUGCAGUGGGUACGGGCAGACUAGAGUGCGGUAGGGGUGACUGGAAUUCCUGGUGUAACGGUGGAAUGCGCAGAUAUCAGGAGGAACACCGAUGGCGAAGGCAGGUCACUGGGCCGCAACUGACGCUGAGGAGCGAAAGCAUGGGGAGCGAACAGG
rnacentral:rRNA from 1 species